rnacentral:tRNA from 1 species
GAAAUAAGACUGAUCUCAUUGUAGCUGCUAACUAAUAAUGAUUAAGGUUUAAAUCCUUUUUUAUUUCG